CUUUGCCACCUGCAACUUAGGGCAUUCAUUUCCAAGUUAUACAAAGAACUCAAAAAAACUUAACACUAAACAAACAAACAAACAAACAAACCCAAUCAAUAAAUGGGCAAAGGUACUACUAAACAAACACAUCUUAAAAGAAUAAAUACGAAUGGUCAAUAAAUACAUGAAUAAAUGGUCAACAUCUCUAGUAAUUAGAAAACUGCAAACUAAAACUACUCUUGAGAUUCAUUUGCCCAAUUAGGGCAGAGGCUCAGUGAACCCCUGAAGGCCUGGCACCCCCAAUGGAUGUGGUUCUGCCAGUCACUAGGCUCACCCAACGUUUUGGGGAGGUUUUCUUAAUAUUUUUUCCAAUUUUUUUAUUGUGUUAAAAUACACUUAGCAUAAAGCCAUCUUAACCAUUUUUCAUUGUACACUUCAGUGAUACUAAGUAUACUUAUACUGUUGUGUAACCUUCAUGACCCUCCAUCUCCAGAACUCUUUUGAUCUUAUAAAACUAAAACUGCACCCGUAAAAAAUGUUUCCCCUGGGGCCUGGGGUUGUGGCUCAG
rnacentral:lncRNA from 1 species